rnacentral:rRNA from 1 species
UGGCGGCCGCGGGAAUUCGAUUGUGGCAGGGGCGGCGGUAAUACGGAGGAUGCAAGCGUUAUCCGGAAUUAUUGGGCGUAAAGCGUCCGCAGGUGGUUUUGAAAGUUUGCUGUCAAAGCGCGGAGCUUAACUUCGUACCGGCAGUGAAAACUACAAGACUAGAGUUUGGUAGGGGUCACGGGAAUUCCCAGUGUAGCGGUGAAAUGCGUAGAGAUUGGGAAGAACACCAGCGGCGAAAGCGCGUGACUGGGCCUGAACUGACACUCAUGGACGAAAGCUAGGGGAGCGAAAGGGAUUAGAUACCCCUGUAGUCCUAGCCGUAAACGAUGACAACUAGGUGUUGCCCGUAUCGACCCGGGCAGUGCCGUAGCCAACGCGUUAAGUUGUCCGCCUGGGGAGUACGCACGCAAGUGUGAAACUCAAAGGAAUUGACGGGGGCCCGCACAAGCGGUGGAGUAUGUGGUUUAAUUCGAUGCAACGCGAAGAACCUUACCAAGGCUUGACAUGUGCAGAAUCUUCUUGAAAGGGAAGAGUGCCUUCGGGAGCUGCAACACAGGUGGUGCAUGGCUGUCGUCAGCUCGUGUCGUGAGAUGUUGGGUUAAGUCCCGCAACGAGCGCAACCCUCGUUUCUAGUUGCCAUCAUUGAGUUGGGCACUUUAGAGAGACUGCCGGUGACAAACCGGAGGAAGGUGGGGAUGACGUCAAGUCAGCAUGCCCCUUACGCCUUGGGCUACACACGUACUACAAUGCUACGGACAAAGAGCCGCAAGUUCGCGAGGACAAGCAAAUCUCAUAAACCGUGGCUCAGUUCAGAUUGCAGGCUGCAACUCGCCUGCAUGAAGGCGGAAUCGCUAGUAAUCGCAGGUCAGCAUACUGCGGUGAAUACGUUCCCGGGCCUUGUACACACCGCCCGUCACACCAUGGAAGUUGGCCACGCCCGAAGUCGUUACUCCAACCGUUCGCGGAGGAGGAUGCCGAAGGCAGGGCUGAUGACUGGGGUGAAGUCGUAACAAGGUAACCAAUCACUAGUGAAUUC